rnacentral:rRNA from 1 species
GACGAACGCUGGCGGCGUGCCUAAUACAUGCAAGUCGAACGCAGUGGGGACGGGUGAGUAACACGUGGGUAACCUCCCAUCAGAGGGGAUAACACUUGGAAACAGGUGCUAAACCGAUACUGAUGGAUGAACCCGCGGUGCAUUAGCUAGUUGGGGAGGUAACGGCGCACCAAGGCCACGAUGCAUAGCCGGCCUGAGAGAAGGAGCAGCCACACUGGGACUGAGACACGGCCCAGCCUCCUACGGGAGGCAGCAGUGGGGAAUAUGGUACAAUGAGCGCAAGCCUGAUGCAGCAAUGCAGCGUGUAUGAAGCAGGCUUUAGGGUUGUAAAGUACUGUCAGCGGGGAGGCGUUACCCGAAGAAGAAGCACCGGCUAACUCCGUGCCAGCAGCCGCGGUAAUUC